rnacentral:lncRNA from 1 species
UGAAUCAUAUUCGUUGAGAUUCAUUCUCAUUAUCAAAAAAAAAAAAACAAUAAACUGGUCAUAAUUACUCAAUGAAAAAAUUUAAAACAUAUAAAGGAUGAAAUAUAAGCGGGAAAAUAAAACCAUAAAUAGAAAACCGCAUGAGUAAAUGACAAGAAGUCACGAGAAUCCCGUUUUCCUCGUUUUCCCUGUGGUUCUUGCUUAACUCACAAAACAACGGCUGGCCAACAAAAUCUUCUGGCUAUCCACGCAUGCAUUGUUGGAAUUCUGGUUCUGCACUUUCUCUUUUCAACUAAAACAUUUUAUAAAUCAAAAUUACUAAAGAUACUUCUUCAAAUAAUACACCAAGGCCAAUAACAUAUAUACACACAUUAAGAGUCAAGAAUUGUCAAACAAAUUUCAAUAUGGGUGUGUUCCUAUUUCUACAAUCUUCAAUAUAUUUUGGUAUAAUUAAUAAGUCUCAAAAUGUUUGCUAAGAAAAAUAUAAUUAUCGUUGCUAUUAAGGUGAUUCUAAAAAUGUUUGCUAAAAAAAUUAUAAUUAUCACUGCUAGAUUAAAUCAUGUGAAAAAUAAUCAUGUGAAAAAUAGAUGUUAAUUUCAAUAUUGUUUUGCUUUCGAGCUUGUUAAAAAUUAAACAAGUUUGACUCUAGUAAAUUUGAGAAGAUAUAAAUAAUAUUAAAAAUUUAGAUAAAUAAACUCACAUAUGAGAAUCAUAUAUUUUAAAAAUAGAGUUUUUUUUAUCAUUUUGAUAUUUUAAAAGGUCCUCUUAUUAAUUUCUUAAAUAUUGAUGAUCGAUUAUAAAUAACUAUCAUGAACUCGAAUAAAUUUUUAUGACAGAUUACGUCAAACUCUAUAACAUGAAAAAUUAUAAAAGAUAAAUAAUAAAUAAUAAAUAAUAAAUAAAUAAUAAAUAAAGACAUUAAUAUAUUUUUUAUGUUCCUUAUAAAAGAAAAGAGGCUUUAGAAUCUUCAGUCCAUACAUGUGUUCUAACUCAGCAGCGGCGACUACUUGAACACAACUCCGGCGAAUCUCCGGCGACUCGAGAAUGGAAAUUCCGAUAACUCAACCGGUG